UGGGAGUUGUGGUCCAAAAGGUCUAAGGGAACUGUCGUGUAAAGUACAGGAGGGCGGAGACGUUUGACUCUUGCAAUUGGGUUGUUUCUGGUUGCAGUAAACGGAGCAAAGUGAAGGGGAGUGUUUUAAGGGCGGCUUUGUGAAGUAAAAAGAAACCAUGGUUUAAAAAAUAAUAACGCUAAGCCGUUAUGUGCCUUAAGUGUGCAAACCAGGCACGUCCAUUAAGUGUAGCAUUACUUGCGUGUCUUUAGCAUGCUGUACGAACGCUCCUCUUAGGCUGCUAACCAUGAUAACGUCAUUCAACAUGCGGUAUAUUUAUUUAUUGUAAAUUUAGACAGAUUUAUUGCCUAUUAGAAAUAGGUUAUUAUCUGUUUGUUUGGAUUUAUUUAUAUAUUGGUUUGUUAACAUUAGUUGCCCAACUGCAAUGGGCCAGAUGGAGCUCAAGUGGUCAUCUCUGUGUUUCUGUAUGCUGAUAGAAACAGGACUGCAGGUAUCCAGGGCAGCAAUUGUUCAAAAACGUACUUGAAACUGAACAAUCUUCUAUGAAAUAUAACCAUGUCCUUCUUGCUGUGGUAACUCAACAAUUACAGAAAUAGGUGAGUUUGGGCCCAGAAAAUAUCUUAAGGUGGCUGUCUCCUUGAAGUGGGGUGAGGGCUUUCAUAUCUGGAUUGCAAAAACCCAAACAACCAUUCAGUGGAAAGACGGAGAUAGAUUUUUCUGUACUGUUUGCCUUUGCUGCUAUUUGGAGUUUUGCAGCCUACAUGUAGUAGCUAUACCGUAUAGAUUUCAUGUGGGAACAGUGGAGUUUUUUCAUUUAUUAGGGUACUUAAGACUCCAGUUAUACUCAACCGAACACCUAUGAAUAAAUGCAAAUCUUACAAAAUGCCACACAUCCUUCUCCCCGAUGAAAGAAAUCUUUGUUAAAUUCUGUGUCUUUGGUUCUUUUCAGUGUAGAGAGUGAUGCCCACAGCCUUUGGAAUACGAAGUAUGUGCAUUACCAAGGAGCUAUGAUUUGUUUUCUAGAAUCAUCCCUCUUAUUUUAAAUGAAGGUUCCGAAAAACAGAAUACCCUUUUCCCAAGGCCAAGUUUCAAACAAACCAUCUGCCAAAUCAAAUGAAAUUUUUAUUAUGGCCAAAACUAGCACAAGAAGGGUGAUUUACAGUCAAUUAGAAAAAAAAUAAAGAGACACCAGAGUCUUAAAAAAUAUGAAAAGCCCAAUGUCUUUCUUAUUCUGUAUAUUUAUGGUAAAAAAACAAACCAUGGCAGCAUGAUGAACAAACCUUGGCUUUCUAUCCAUUGGUUUGAAAAGCAAUUCUCUUUCUGGUGAAACAUAUAUUCAUCCACAUAAGAACUGUUUUUUUAAAUGAAGAAAAUAUUUAUUAUCAUUAGGAUUGAAAAGUGAAGUGUGUUGGAGGGGAUUUGGGCACAAACCAAUUCUAAAAUAACCUCAAUAAAACUAAGAUGCAGGGAAAGAAAAUAAUAAAGAGUUUGUUCAGGAAACAAUUACUGUUCUGAAACCAGCUUUGCCACUGGUUGUCUCUAGUUGGAGAGUGAUGAUUUGAUUACUGUAUCUGAAGAUGCUAUUCAAGGAGAUGGGCUGGAAUAUGGAUUUGUAAAAGACCUUUUAUUUCUUUGAAGAUACAAAGUCAGAGGAAUUAAAGUCAUUAGACAUUUGCUGUAUUGUGGGACUACAGGCAUAAAAAAACCCAGCGUUUUCCUAAAUUAAUACUGCACAUUGGACAGGUGAGUUCAUCUUCAGAUUCUUUGUCUGCUUAUCCAGACACCACUGCAGAGAUUUAAUUCUGUCUGAAACACAUUCACACCUAGAAAUAUGUUUACUUGCUCCUUUCCAUGUAAGAUACAUGAGAAAAGAUGCUAAACAAAAAAAUUCAAAAGCAAAUUGUAUGUGGGUUGAAAAUGCUCUGUCUGGUGUCUAUUUACAGUCAGACCUGCUAAUUAAGGAAGCCCUAUUAAGUGCCUAUCACAGAAAUAAAUUACAGUACAAUCUGCUACGGACACACACCCUCUUGCUAUCUUUGUCAACAAAAGGAAGGAUAACAUACAUGACAUGAAACAACCACAACAUUUAUGCAUUGAAGCUGAAAAAUCUUUGUAAAUGCAUACAUUUGAAAUGCAAUAAAGCUUGCAAGUUCCAAAGCUAAGGACAUAAUGUAAUAAUUUAUUUGGAAUAUAUAUUAAAGUUGAACCUAUUCAGAUACAAAUGCAGGAGAGAGUGUGGGCAGGGGGUGGGGAUUGGAGGGAAUCACAGACCCAAUUCUGAGAUGUUAGAAACUCUUUGAAAGCUGCCAUGCCCAGCCCAGAGCUUCUUUCCUGCCUUGCUGCCUCUUAUCUAAGUGUGCACUCAAAUGCAAUCCUUUCCCCAUACCAUUCAGCUGAAUUUGGAAAGCUGAUAAUGUGCUUUUUCUGAUUCAUGGCUGGCUGGGGAAUUCUGGGAGUUGAAGUUCACCCAUCUUAAAAUUGCCAAGGUUGAGAAACACUGUUCUACAUGUCUUCUCAAAAAUAAUCUUGGAGAGCUUAGUGGAUAUUGGCUUCUCUUUGAAGAAAAGGAAGAAAUGGAUUCAAGAUAUACAAGUAAUAUGUUUUCAGAAUCAGGAAUUUUAACAUGACAUUCAAAAACAAAUGUCAAUUUUGAGAAUAAGGGCAAUUCCAUACCACAUUUUUUUCUCCCACAUCCAAAGAAAUAGACAUUAACUUGCAAACUUUGUAAUAUCUGCCCAUCAUAAAAUCAGAUUACAGGCAAAAAAUAUAAGAAAAAAAGGCAAAAAGGUAGGAAGAAAGGAAGGGGAAGAGAAAGAAAGGAAGGAAGGAACAAAAGGAAGGAAAAAUGAAUGAAUGAAUGAAAGAAAGAAAGAAAGAAAAAGAAAGAAAGGAAAAAGAAAGAAAGAAAGAAAAUUCAACAAGUGCCCCAUCUUAAGAUACUGCAAUUUUGGAGCAAUGAAAACUGUAUCUCUCCUUAUGUCUUCCCUCCCACCACCAUUCACCUUGGAAAAAGCAUUUGCAAAAAAUAAAGAUCAGUUUUAAAGACUCUUGCUAUUUAUAAUGCUGAAAGGAUAGCAUGCAAACAGUUUUGCAAUCAAUCAUUCCCAUCCAUCUCACUAAUAACUAUAGUCAUGAUUGCAUACUGCUGGAAAGGAAGAGAAAAAAAAUCUAGGCUGCAGGACAGACAAGUUGCUGGGGAGAGGCUGAGGAGAGAGAGGAUGAAAGGAAAAUUUAUGGAACAAUAAAAACUAGCAGGCAUCUGACAAACGAGAAAAAA